UACGUAGGGUGCAAGCGUUGUCCGGAAUUAUUGGGCGUAAAGAGCUCGUAGGCGGUCUGUUGCGUCGGCUGUGAAAACCCGAGGCUCAACCUCGGCCUGCAGCCGAUACGGGCAGACUAGAGUUCGGCAGGGGAGACUGGAAUUCCUGGUGUAGCGGUGAAAUGCGCAGAUAUCAGGGAGGAACACCGGUGGGCGAAGGCGGUUC
rnacentral:rRNA from 1 species